GACGAACGCUGGCGGCGUGCUUAACACAUGCAAGUCGAACGGAAAGGCCCUGCUUUUGUGGGGUGCUCGAGUGGCGAACGGGUGAGUAACACGUGAGUAACCUGCCCUUGACUUUGGGAUAACUUCAGGAAACUGGGGCUAAUACCGGAUAGGAGCUCCUGCUGCAUGGUGGGGGUUGGAAAGUUUCGGCGGUUGGGGAUGGACUCGCGGCUUAUCAGCUUGUUGGUGGGGUAGUGGCUUACCAAGGCUUUGACGGGUAGCCGGCCUGAGAGGGUGACCGGCCACAUUGGGACUGAGAUAAGGCCCAGACUCCUACGGGAGGCAGCAGUAGGGAAUAUUGCACAAUGGGCGGAAGCCUGAUGAAGCAACGCCGCGUGCGGAAUGACGGCCUUCGGGUUGUAAACCGCUUUCGCCUGUGACGAAGCGUGAGUGACGGUAAUGGGUAAAGAAGCACCGGCUAACUACGUG
rnacentral:rRNA from 1 species